rnacentral:misc_RNA from 1 species
GGAUGUUUCAUCGAGAUGAAAAGCUAUUUUAAAUUUUUUGGGAACGAAGAAGUUGAUUUUAACAAAUAUGGUAACUUCGUAGCUGUUCUUCACUCUCGAAUUGCUGACUACAAUUUUAAGUUAAAAAUUGACCUGGCGAGAUAUUGAGAGUUAAAAUUUGUGCCCUAUUUCACUCAUUUGCUGGAAAUGAAGCAAAAGGGUAGUUGGCCCCUACUGUUCUGGGAUUUGGCAGUUUGCGCUGAAUGUGGAAAGUAGGAAAUAGAGUUUGCUAACUGUGAAGGAUUAGAAGGGAACGAAGGACUCAUGUUGGGCGGCCUUCAUGGGUGUGGAAGACUAGUUUUAGAGUAUUGGAUGUGUUACUGAUGUGGUGCAUUUUGGAUAAGCUUAGCAAUGAUAACAGUGGGCUUAUCUGCCAAAUUAUUUUGUGAGAUUGUUAAACUCAAAAGUGUGAGUAUUAUGAAAGCUAUCACAAACUAUAAGAGACUGCAAAUAGGGGACCGGUAAUACAAUUGGUCUUUUACUUUCAAAUGAAGCUUGAUUUAUCUAUAAUAUCAAUGACUAAUUUAACUGAAUAUGGUAUGUUCGCAAGCCUAAUUAUAGCAUGCAAAUAGAAAAGUUAAUUUUUUACAUGAUGAAAUAGGUAGAAAAAGGCCAAAAUUAAAAUUUACAGUUGCAUUGAGAUAAGGUUAUGUGAUGAGUGUUGAUGCAGGAGCUUGUUACAUGAUGUGGCUAAAUGCAAAGCAAAACCCACACAACUUAUAUACUGAAUAACAAGUUAAAAAGUGGGUUGUUGCAAAAGAUAUAGCUAGAUGAGAUAUUACACGCUUUACUAGCUUAGAUGACCACAUUUUCAGUUAGUAGUUGAUAGAUUGUCAUGCGGGGUGUUAACAUUGUCAAUCUAUAAUCCUUGAUCAAUAUCUUUUUCACAUACCCAAUGUUGUAACAUUAUGGAGUGUCAGUGUGGCCAUAUAUAAUAUCUCUAGCACUUGAAAUAUUGGGGUUUAUAGGUUCAAAUGACUUGGUUGAAAUUUUUAUUGUUUUCAGACAAUUUGAUGGAUCUUGAGUGAAGUAUUUUAAAUCUUUAUAUGUUUUGUUUUCUUUCUCAUCUUAAGGUUCUCCCUUUGUUAAAAGGUUCUGAGUGUUUUUAAAUGCUAAUAAUAUACUAUUUCAGAUACCAUCCUGACAAAAAUGCAAA